UUGUCACAUGACCAGAGCUGUUUACUUCCUGGUUGCACCAUGAGAAGACGAUGGCUGCAUUAAAGCUCCCAAACAAAAGUUUCACUUUGAGUCAAGUUCUGGAUAUGUUGGAUCUAGGUGACUGCCCAGACAAGCGAUGGGUCAGAUAUGGAUUAUGAGGGGGAGACAGGCCAUUUGCCAGCCAGGCUGUUGAAUGUAUAUGCUGAACCUAUGCAAACAGAUCAUGACAGGAACAACAUUAUCAGUGAUGAUGACCUACCCUUCACCACCCUACACUCUCCUCCCUGAGACUGGGUUGGGUCAUGGACCCAGUGUCGUUCUUGGUGUUGCAGAGAAAUCUCAGGUGCCUCAAGGUUGCAAGAUCCUUCAUGACAACCUCUUCACUUCGCUUGCACUCUUCGAUGAAAUGACAAAAAGAGGAUAUGGGAGCUCUGGAACGAUGAGGCAAAAUCGUCUGUUUGAUGUCCCAUUCAAGCCACAGAAGGACUUCAUGAAGUUACCCCGGGGAACCUCUGAGGUUCUGACCCAAGGAGACAAGGUGCUGGUCCGUUAGAAAGACAAUAACAUUGUCACAGUGGCAACAAACAUGGAGGAGAAAUACAGUGAGACCUCUGUCAAGAGAUAGAACAAGGAGCGACGUGCCUUUUGACAAAGUCCCACAACCAAAAUGCAUCAACCGAUACAAUGAGCACAUGGGUGGUGUUGAACUUCACAACCUACAGAUUUCAAGAUACCAUAUUUCCAUCAGGUCUAAGAAGUGGUGGUGGCCCAUCUUUGCAUGGUCUCUCAACAGUGCACUUGUAAACAGCCAUUUAUUUUACAGAGAUGUUAUGGGAGGGACCAUCAACCUGUUCACCUUCUCAUGGAUAGUGGCACAGUCUCUUAUGCAAAUGUUUGGCACGAAACCACUGAGCCACGGAAGGAGAUCUCUACUGGCUGCUACUAUUGAAGAUCAGGCAAGAUAUGAAAAAGCUUAUCACUGGCCAAUCAACACGAUGCACCGGUUCCAGAGAAGUUGUCAUUGUGACAAACGUACAACCUAUGCAUGUGAGAAAUGCAAAGCGCCACUGCACAUUGAGUGCUUCAAGAUAUACCAUGGACAGCAGAAAAGGAGAUAAGAGAGAAUGAAAUAGGGCUGAAAAGGCCAAUGAAAGAAAAAUAGAAAAGUCAAUAAAGGGUGAGGAGAAGCAAUACAAUGGACUCUAGGAAGAAAAGAAAAGUCGACGAAAAAUGGAAAAAGACAAUCAAAAUGACUGAAAUGUUUUUGGAAAAGAGGAUCAAUUGAUUCAAGACAUACUGUAUUACAGCAUCUGACUGAUCGUAGUUCAAAAUAGUGAUGCACAAACUAAUCGUGCACUUGGUUCUGAAGCCUACCUGAAGCCUACCUCUAUAAUAUAUAUACAUACAUAUAUAUAUGUAUGUGUGUGUGUGUGUGUGUGUGUGUGUGUGUGUGUGUGUAUGUAUGUGUAUAUAUGUAUGUGUAUAAUAUAUAUAUAUAUAUAUGUAUAUAUAUAUAUAUAUAAUUGCAUUUUGUUCAGUGUAGG
ensembl:lncRNA